UACGUAGGGGGCAAGCGUUGUCCGGAUUUAUUGGGCGUAAAGAGCGUGUAGGCGGCCAAGCAGGUCCGCUGUGAAAACUCGAGGCUCAACCUCGAGACGUCGGUGGAAACCGUUUGGCUAGAGUCCGGAAGAGGAGAGUGGAAUUCCUGGUGUAGCGGUGAAAUGCGCAGAUAUCAGGAAGAACACCCGUGGCUAAGGCGGCUCUCUAGUACGGUACUGACGCUGAGACGCGAAAGCGUGGGGAGCAAACAGG
rnacentral:rRNA from 1 species